rnacentral:rRNA from 1 species
GACGAACGCUGGCGGCGUGCUUAACACAUGCAAGUCGAACGGAAAGGCCCUGCUUUUGUGGGGUGCUCGAGUGGCGAACGGGUGAGUAACACGUGAGUAACCUGCCCUUGACUUUGGGAUAACUUCAGGAAACUGGGGCUAAUACCGGAUAGGAGCUCCUGCUGCAUGGUGGGGGUUGGAAAGUUUCGGCGGUUGGGGAUGGACUCGCGGCUUAUCAGCUUGUUGGUGGGGUAGUGGCUUACCAAGGCUUUGACGGGUAGCCGGCCUGAGAGGGUGACCGGGCACAUUGGGAAUGAGAUACGGCCCCGACUCCUACGGGAGGCAGCAGUGGGGAAUAUUGCAACAUGGGCGGAAGCCUUAUGCAGCAACGCCGGGGGCGGGAUGACGGCCUUCGGGUUGUAAACCGCUUUCGCCUGUGACGAAGCGUGAGUGACGGUAAUGGGUAAAGAAGCACCGGCUAACUACGUG